AAUGUCGUUCUCUCUCCUUUCUUUUCAAUCCAUGCUGGGCGGCUCUUUCGAGAGCCAGGGAAUGAGACACAAAGUCCCUCUGCAGGCCCAGUCUGUGUCGCAGUGCUCAGCACCGAAAAGCAAAUGUUAAAAUGUAUCACUCUGUGUUGUUCAUUAAGUUGUAUGGUGACUUAGGCAGGUUGAGUGGCUGUCUUUCUUUGCUGCUCUGUGAAACUUCAAAAGUAUAGCCUGCCUUCCGUGUUGGGUUGGUGGAGCUGAUUAUUCUAAAUUUAGUCCCACUCUUGUAAUUGUCAUUGCACUGGCUGUAAUGAAUUCAUUUCUUUCUUUUUUUUUCCGUUUGGAUGUACACUUGAAGGUUUUGAUCAGCUUUCUGUUUUUGGUUGAUGGAGGAGAUUGUGAAUGAAAUCUAAUCUGUGUACCGUAAGGCAGCUUGUUAGUGGUUCAUUUUUGUGUACUACUUCAGAAUGUUUUUCAUCUUGGACUUUUCUUCAGUAUUUUAUGCAAUACUCGCUGCCCAGUAUACUUUUAUUUGUAAAGCACUUCCUGAAUUUGCAUUCUAAAUUUCUGCCUUAAAGGACCAUCUCUAUCAUUCCCUACCUGAGAAGUGUCGUGCUGUUUUGCUUGCUGCCUCAUCCUACCAACAAAGCUAAGUGUCUUGUUUUGCCCUUUGUUUUAAUUUCCCUUUCCUUUGCAUACCCAUAGUACAGAUGUCAUUGUUAAAAUUGGGUUAUUUUGGUCUAUUUAGGAGCGGAGUAUGAUAUCCAAAAUUAACUUUAAGAAUGCAAUGCCCCUUUUCUGAAUCUGGUAAAGCCUGUUUUCUACAAGUUUUAAUUUGUGUUGUCGAAUGCUUCCAACUUGGGCAUGGAAAAGUUUACUUUACCCCACCCCGUACAGGACUUAUAUGUCUAACUGACCUUCAUUUGCACUCGUGGGUUUAAGAAUUAGCCUCACCUUGUAUCUCUUACCUCAAUCUUACCAUUUGCCAGAUAUUUGGGACGUGCCUCAGGAGCGUUGCUUAGUCUGCACUGGACAGAAAGUGAUGCAUUGAUGUAGCACCUUGUGACCCAGAUGAUAGGUUUCUCGCAUCACCCCUGAUUCUAUAUUCACUUGCCUACAUAGAAGCGGUUAUUGUUUUAAAGUAAGGCUAGUUUAGUUGAUCGAUGACUGGGGAUGAUAUCUUUGCCCAGCAAAUAGUAAAGAGGGAUGGUCCGUAGAUACUUCCCUGAGGUACACGAUUUUUAACUUCUUUAAAAGAAGACUUUUUACUAUUAAAGUAUCACAUUAGGGUUGUGUGGAUGCUGCCUGUUGUCUUAAAGAUAUGUUAGGGUUAUAAGCUAUAUCUCAGAUAACAUAUUUACCUGGAAUGUUCAGUAGAAUUUUGUGAUCAACGCUAUCAAAGGCUUUACUCAGAGCAAGACAAAGACCUACCUUUUUAAGACUAGUGCAUUAACAUUCAUUAAAUCUUUGGAUUAGAGAAGCACAGGCAUCUAUAAAUGAGGUUCCUUUUUUUUUGUGUGUUUUUUUCUUUUUGUGGUAACCAUAUUGCUUGUUGAAGAUAAUAUUCUGAUUAUACGGCAAUGUCUUGACCCCGUCAAUAUAAAUAUUCUAAGUUUAUCUUCGUGAUUUUUUGACAUCUUCAUCCUUCAGUUGAUUGUGUGACUGUUGAAUAACUUGAUUGGCUGUCAGUAAUAUGAGAGUGUAGUUUCUAUGGAAACUAUAUGGAGGCCAGGUGUUUCCUAGGAAACUGGUGACUGGUAACGUUUUUCUGUUCAACUAUAUCAACGGUUGCGAUAAAUACUAAUCAAUAGGAUGAUACAUAUUUUAACCUUUGCCCAGUACGUGCUCUUGCACCCUUCCACCCUCUUCCCCCUUUUCAAUGUCGUUCUCUCUCCUUUCUUUUCAAUCCAUGCUGGGCGGUUCUUGUGAGAGCCAGGGAAUGAGACACAAAGUCCCUCUGCAGGCCCAGUCUGUGUCGCAGUGCUCAGCACCGAAAAGCAAAUGUUGAAACGUAUCGUCUUGUUUCUAUCUUGGAUUUCUGUAGAGGAAAGUAACUCACCUCGUUGAUGGUGAUAGAUUUUCAAGCGGCAGCAGCAGCACAUGGGAGUGGGACCAUGUUAACUUUAAAAUUAAGAUGUACUUAAAAAAAAAAGAGAUUCAUACUUGGGACAUCUUUUAGCUUUAGUACAAGCAUUCUAAUAUUACUUAUGUGUUGAGCCAGCCAUUGUGUUUAAAAAGCUACAGCAGCCCAAAAAGCGAAGCAGUCCACCAUGCCCCCCCCCCCUUUUUCCACUUAAGUCACUUCAGAACUUUCUGGUAGAGACAGCCACUAGGGACUGUCUGAAAACUACAACUUAGCAGCAUAAUUCAGAAUGAUACUUAAUUUAUCCUCCCCAGUAACAGCUUCCUCACACCCUUUCCGCUUUCAGUUUUGAGUUGGCGCACUUUCCCUAUCUCCUAGGAGCGUCGUCGAGU